CACGUAGGGUGCGAGCGUUGUCCGGAAUUAUUGGGCGUAAAGAGCUCGUAGGCGGCUUGUUGCGUCGAUCGUGAAAACUUGUGGCUCAACCAUGAGCUGGCGGUCGAUACGGGCGGGCUGGAGUUCGGUAGGGGAGACUGGAAUUCCUGGUGUAGCGGUGAAAUGCGCAGAUAUCGGGAGGAACACCUAUGGCGAAGGCAGCUCGCUGGGACGUUACUGACGCUGAGACGCGAAAGCGUGGGGAGCAAACAGG
rnacentral:rRNA from 1 species